AGUGAACGCUGGCGGCGUGCUUAACACAUGCAAGUCGAACGAGAACGGAUUAUAGCUUGCUAUAAUUGUCAGCUAAGUGGCGCACGGGUGAGUAAUGUAUAGGUAAUAUGCCUCUUACUAAGGGAUAACAAAUGGAAACGUUUGCUAAUACCUUAUACUCCUUAUUAACAGAAGUUAAUAAGGGAAAGAUUUAUUGGUAAGAGAUUAGCCUGUAUUGUAUCAGUUAGUUGGUUGGGUAAUGGCUUACCAAGACUAUGACACAUAACUGGUUUGAGAGGAUGAUCAGUCACACUGGAACUGAGACACGGUCCAGACUCUUACGGGGAGCAGCAGUGGAGAAUAUUGCACAAUGGACGAAAGUCUGAUGCAUCAACGCCGCGUGGAGGAUGACACAUUUCGGUGCGUAAACUCCUUUUAUAUGAGAAGAUAAUGACGGUAUUAUAUGAAUAAGCACCGGCUAACUCCGUGCCAGCCGCCGCCGUAA
rnacentral:rRNA from 1 species